rnacentral:lncRNA from 1 species
UCUAGCGCAGUUUUUUUUCUUGUCUAUAAAGCAUUUAACCCCCCUGUACACAACUCACUCCUUUUAAAGAAAAAUAUUGAAAUGUAAGGCUGUGUAAGAUUUGUUUUUAAACUGUACAGUGUCUUUUUUUGUAUAGUUAACACACUACCGAAUGUGUCUUUAGCUAGCCCUGUCCUGGUGGUAUCUUCAGUAGCCACUAACCUUGCCUGGUACAGUCUGGGGGUUGUAAAUUGGCAUGGAUAUUAAAACAGGUUCUUGUUGGUGCACAGCACGAAUUAGUUAUAUAUGGGGACAGUAGUUUGGUUUUUGGUUUCUUUCUUUUUUUGUUUUUUGUUUUUGUUUUUUUUUUCUUUUGGUUUUUUUUUCCAUCUUCAGUUGUCUCUGAUGCAGCUUAUACGAAGGUAAUUUUUGUUCUGUUAACUGAAUACCACUCUGUAAUUGCAAAAAAAUGGUGGCUGUUUUGUUGACAUUCUGAAUGCUUCUAAGUAAAUACAAUUUUUUUUAUUAAAAAAA